AUGUCUGAAUGAUGAAACAAAGUGUUGGUAGGGACAUCUGAGUAGUACUGAUGAAUUGCCAACCUCUCUGACCUGGGCAU
rnacentral:snoRNA from 1 species